CGGGCGGGUGAGUAAUGUCUGGGAAACUGCCCGAUGGAGGGGGAUAACUACUGGAAACGGUAGCUAAUACCGCAUAACGUCGCAAGACCAAAGAGGGGGACCUUAGGGCCUCUUGCCAUCGGAUGUGCCCAGAUGGGAUUAGCUAGUAGGUGGGGUAAUGGCUCACCUAGGCGACGAUCCCUAGCUGGUCUGAGAGGAUGACCAGCCACACUGGAACUGAGACACGGUCCAG
rnacentral:rRNA from 1 species